AACGCACACGGGGAAAAAUAUACUUUAAUGUUUCGUCUUUAUCAGUUGUUCACCUUUUUUGUCUCUGAACCAUAAAAUCGCGCGAAGACCAAGAACCUCCGAACUCGGUAUUUAUGGUGGGGAACUCUCCAAUUUUACUAGCAUCCAUAUGCUGGACAAACUUCGAGAAGAGUCUGGCCAGAGAUUUAUGAAUUCAAAAAUGUCAAAUUUCUGCUGUUCUUCAACUCACACCUUCUCUUCUCCCACCACCAAUAGAGUCCACCAAUCAGAGUAAACUAAAAACAAUUGUGGUAUGGCUUUUUCCCUACGCUUGCUUGGGUAUCUGGCAUGAGAAAAAACGAAGGGAGUUCAGUUCGUUUCCGAGACUUAAGGGGUUAUUCUCAUGUGAACGCCUAUAUUUUACCACUUUUUCGGAAUUUUUUUUUUAUGCGACAACAAACUUCAAUCAUGUUGAUUUUUCAAUAUAUUUUUAUUUGUAUUUUGAAAUAUACGAAAAAAAUUUUUUUUUUCGUUUUUUACAUUUUUAACAUAUAUUUUUUCUAAGUCAAAGUAGUCCCCAACAAAAAAAGGUAGUUCACUGGUCAAGGUGAUAGCGGCUGUUCAUGUUGUCUGACAUAAAAAAAUCGAAUGGAUUAUUAUUCAGUAGACCUGUGGCUAUCGUCCCUACCAAAUAUAAUCAAUUUCAUUAAAAACAAAAAAAAAUAUCGAACUUCAAAAAAAAAAUCACGAAAAUCUCCUUCUUUUUCGUUACAAAUCGUUUAAAAAAAAUAUGAAGAUAUUGUCGAAAAUAAACAAUUGUGGUAGGGACGAUAACCAUAAAUGAGUAGAAGAACAUAUGUAAAUUUUAAAGCAAUCGGUUGAAUACUUUUUCUUGUAGGACCUUGACCGUUUCAGAAAAUGAUGAUUCGAGAAAAACGCGUUUAAAGUUGAAAGCCUGGUAGACAAUCGCUUACGACGCGUCGGCGACUAUGAGCUAUAACUUAUGAAAUACUAUGAAUUUCGGUCUGAAUUUUUCACAGCAUGUUUUCAAAAGGUUUUACUGUCAAAAUAUCGAAAAAAAAAAAAAUCGAUUUUUUGAAGUGCUCACAUGAGAAUAACCCCUUAAGUGACUGAGACUGAGUGUGAAGUCAUCAGUCUUCUUAGUAACAUUGUACGCAAAAUCGGAUAAAUAAAAAGUAGCAAAUAAUGUUUUCAUACACCCAGUGUCCGUGUCAACUUGGCUGAACAAAAAAUCGGUUAUCCCACGUGCUUCGUUGUGCACGGAGAUAAUAUAUCGUGGUCUAAACCGAGAAAAGUGUCGUGUCAAAGGACGAUGUGAGAUUAGUAGCGCGAGCAGAAAAGCCAACACAGAACUCGAGCGCAAAAAUUUGCACUUUAAGGGGUUAUUCUCAUCUGAUAGUCGCCGACGUGUCGUAAGCGAUUGUCUACCAGGCUUUCAACUUUAAACGCGUUUUUCUCGAAUCAUCAUUUUCUGAAACGGUCAAGGUCCUACAAGAAAAAACAACAUGAACAGCCGCUAUCACCUUGACCAGUGAACUACCUUUUUUUGUUGGGGACUACUUUGACUUUAAAAAAAUAUAUGUUAAAAAUGUAAAAAACGAAAAAAAAAAUUUUUUCGUAUAUUUCAAAAUACAAAUAAAAAUAUAUUGAAAAAUCAACAUGAUUGAAGUUUGUUGUCGCAUAAAAAAAAAAAUUCCAAAAAAGUGGUAAAAUAUAGGCGUUCACGUGAGAAUAACCCCUUAAUCCAGCCGAAAAUCGAACCCGUGUCUUCCAGUCUUAGCAUUAAGAUGAACGUUAAAAAAAGCGAAUCUCACCGGUUUUUGAAAUAAUGAACAACAAAAUUUGACAUAUGAAGACUAUCUUAGAAACUAAUGAUUGGUUUUCGAGCAUCUUUAAUACGGAAUUGCGUUAUCAUGAUACCUAAAAGAGUACCAAAUUUUUAUCUCGAUUAAUUUAUGCGUUAUGGCGCAUACAAGCAAUUUUAAUGAAAAAAUUAAAAACUAGAAUAGAAGUGAAUGACGCUAGGUGAAAUGGUCUUCUUUCGAUUCAGUUGUAUAGUCGUUAUCACAGCGAGUGCUUACGAAAAUUGGGAUCGGUCAAAGCGUUACGAAAAUAUCGGCGAAAAACAAUUUUUGUGAGAUCGCAAUAUCUCCGUAACUACUCAACGAAUGAAGUCGAAUCCAGUCUCAAAAUUUCACUAAUGGUAGCACUAAUUGACCGCCAAAAUCGUAACAUCGCAUACAGACAAUCUGUCCAACGAUUUCCAAUGAAAAUUAGCAAAUCGAAAAAAUGACCAUUGCCAUCCCUCCAUUCAGACGCAAAAACCAAAAACUAACAAAGAUAAUUGUGUUUUCAAAUUAAUCACAAAAUUCAUAAUAAUUUACAAGGCACCCUACCGUUCUUCACUGAGGGAUGUAAUUGGCCCUUUGAUAAUUGACCUCAUCAAUGCGCUUCAGUAUUCCAUUUUCCACUUCAGCGUCAACCAUAUCAACAUCAAAGUGGUAUUAAAAUUAUUGUCGGAAAUGCAAUAUUCACCAUCACCAUUCUAUGAUCAAAAAAGCCGAAAAGUCGAGUUGUCUGUGUAUUGAAAAAUCCGUCAGGUAAUAAAUGCAAUUAUGCAAUCAAAGGACGGUGAAAAUAUUGUAUAGCAUGCAGAUACGAUGCAAAUGAACUCAUCUUCGCUACAUGUAGCAAUUCCAAAAAAAAAAAAAAUCAACUGUGAUCUCCGCUGUGAGUCAGAAUUAUUAAAUUUCCUGUCAGCUUCGCAAUAUAUAUCGUGUACAUCGUGCAACCUACAUCAAAUAAGAAUUAAAUUUUCUUUUCUAAAUGAAGGGAAAUAUGAGAGGAGAAGCGUCAGCUGAUGUAUUUUACUCAAAGCAAUGAGAAAAAAAAGAACUAUUGAAUGAAAAACCGAGCUAGGAGCGCGGAUAAGGUGGAAGAGGGUGGAGUACUUUGCUGGGGCAGUCUAGUUACUUACGAGUAAACAAGCGCCCCCACUCUUGGAGGUAAAAGUGUAUCAGGUCAUCAAAUUGCGCGAUCCGGGAGAGAUUACACACCAACGUAUCGAAUUUUACGACAUUAUUUUGUUACAUAAACAAAGUAGGCAGUCGCUCUAACGGUUUUUAGAAAGGACAUAGAAGGUAACCACGUGGUACAUCAGACUAUGGAUAAUAGGAGAGUGAUAGGUGGAGAGACUGACCGAUUAUGCGAUGACCAGGAUGAUUUUAAAGUUCACUGAUUAUAGAAUGAUGUACUGUUGAAUGAAUGUGAAAUUUUGCGUAAAAUGGUCGCAUUGCAGUAAAAAGGAUAACACGAUUUUUAUAGACGAGACAUAGCCGCGCGCCACCGCGCGCGAUUUGGUUAAUCUUAAUUGUUGUGAUAUUUUUUAUUUAAGUCACAUUUGCGGUGAGCGCACCUUAUUUUAACUACUGUAUGAGUGGAGCAGUUGAAUUAUAUGGAUAUAAAAAGUCAAUGUAAUAUUUAAAUUCAAAAUAAUUAUACCAAAAUGAUCCUGAAGUAAUCGCGUAUGACGUUGAACACGUCAUCAUUUCGUAAACAUGGAUCUUUAAAAAUUGCUGAUAUAUUCACAGCUGAUCUAUUUCCCACUUGUAGGCAACAUGCAAAAUUUUUAAUGUCUUGAAGCUGUAAGACGACUUGGAAAAUACAGGAGUUUCGAUAAGAUAUAGAUAUUUACAUUU